rnacentral:rRNA from 1 species
AUUGAACGCUGGCGGCAGGCCUAACACAUGCAAGUCGGACGGUAGCACAGAGGAGCUUGCUCCUCGGGUGACGAGUGGCGGACGGGUGAGUAAUGUCUGGGGAUCUGCCCGAUAGAGGGGGAUAACCACUGGAAACGGUGGCUAAUACCGCAUAACGUCGCAAGACCAAAGAGGGGGACCUUCGGGCCUCUCACUAUCGGAUGAACCCAGAUGGGAUUAGCUAGUAGGCGGGGUAACGGCCCACCUAGGCGACGAUCCCUAGCUGGUCUGAGAGGAUGACCAGCCACACUGGAACUAGGACCCGGUCCAGACUCCUACGGGAGGCAGCAGUGGGGAAUAUUGCACAAUGGGCGCAAGCCUGAUGCAUCCAUGCCGCGUGUAUGAAGAAGGCCUUCGGGUUGUAAAGUACUUUCAGCGGGGAGGAAGGCGAUGUGGUUAAUAACCGCAUUGAUUGACGUUACCCGCAGAAGUAGCACCGGCUAACUCCGUGCCAGCAGCCGCCGCGG